ACACACAACAAAAAGCCACGUUUGGGGUUAAUCCCAGCAACCAAUCAUUGAGACAGUGCAGCAAUUCCACCCGUGGGUGUUUUUUUGGGUUUGUCUGUGAGCAGAGAGCUCAGUCCUGCAGGGAGCACAUCCCUGAGCACACCUGGCUCCAGCUCUUGGUGAGGCCAAACCUGAAAAUCCCCAUUUUCCCCCAUGCCACCAUCUCCAGCAGAACACACCAACCCUCUGAAUGCACUCAAUCCUCAUCUCCUUGGCAGAAAACUCCCAAUUCCAUUCUUGAGCAGCCAGUGGGCUUCCCACUGACCUUAUUUCCAGCUCGGAGCUGGGGCCAACGGAGCAACACCGUUGUUUGCAGGAGCUCUAAUAAAAUAAUAUCUGAGCCCAUUAGGUUUGAUAUAAAAAGCAGCCAAGCUGUUAUUUGGAUUCUGCACAUAUGCUCCAGGCUGCAGCCAAUUGUGCUGGCACCCAGCUCCAGAUCCUGCCAGGGAACUACACCAGGAAAGAAACGGGAGAUGGAUUUUUCCUUUUCCCAGGCGCUCACAAUGCCUGCAAACACUGAAACCUACAAGGACAGCAGCAAAUUAAGAUCAUUACCAACCUGGGGCAAGACUGGGAAGAGCCAAACUCACCUAACAGAGAGUGUGAAGUCUCCUGGGUUACUUUUGCUGGGCCGUGCCAAGAAGCUGCCAUCGACUCCUCUUGUUAACAGCAGGUUUUCUGCCUCCACCCCAGUGAUAUUUGGAUGAAACCAUCUA